GACGGAGGAUGCAAGCGUUAUCCGGAAUGAUUGGGCGUAAAGCGUCCGCAGGUGGCAGUUCAAGUCUGCUGUCAAAGACCGGGGCUUAACUUCGGAAAGGCAGUGGAAACUGAACAGCUAGAGGUAUGGUAGGGGCAGAGGGAAUUCCUGGUGUAGACGGUGAAAUGCGUAGAGAUCAGGAAGAACAUCGGUGGCGAAGGCGGGUCUCUGGGCCGAUACUGACGCUGGGGCGCGAAAGCGUGGGGAGCAAACGGGG
rnacentral:rRNA from 1 species